rnacentral:rRNA from 1 species
AAAGGAAUAGACGGGGGCCCGCACAAGCGGUGGAGCAUGUGGUUUAAUUCGAUGCUACGCGAAGAACCUUACCAGGACUUGACAUCCAGCACUUAAUGUCGUUUUUGAAAAAAGGCGGAAUAACCGGAAGGUUAAGUGCUGGACAGGUGGUGCAUGGUUGUCGUCAGCUCGUGUCGUGAGAUGUUGGGUUAAGUCCCGCAACGAGCGCAACCCCUAUUCUUAGUUGCCAGCGCGUUAAGGUGGGCACUCUAAGGAGACUGCCGGUGACAAACCGGAGGAAGGUGGGGACGACGUCAAAUCCUCAUGCCCUUUAUGUUCUGGGCUACACACGUGCUACAAUGGUCUGUACAACGGGUUUGCGAUGUCGCGAGGCUGAGCUAAUCCCUUAAAGCAGAUCUCAGUUCGGAUUGCAGGCUGCAACUCGCCUGCAUGAAGUCGGAAUCGCUAGUAAUCGCGAAUCAGAACGUCGCGGUGAAUACGUUCCCGGGCCUUGUACACACCGCCCGU